UUCGGCCAGUCAAUUGGUCAAUGGUGGAUAUUCGCGGGUAGUGUCUAGACGCCAAUCAAAUGUGGCGCGAGCCUCUUCCGUUAUUCAGUGAGAGCCGCGGUCGUUGUGGGAGGACCGGUGUCACGGAUGGUGGCUGAGUCCGUCAGCGAUGGGAUUGAGACAAUGAUCCGCGAUGAAUAUAACUGAUGCUGGAUUAAUGUUAGGGACAGUCAGUGCGGGCUGACUGGCCAGCUGCGCUUCCUUCUUUGGAUCCCGGCUCCAACUCUGUUUAACAGCGCCUCACCACCUGGCUGGAAAAUCUUACAAGCUUUCAAAAGAAAUCACGAGUGAAAGGAAGAAACACCUUCUUUUGCCAAGUUGACAGCUACAACGAAUGUCUAGACUAUCUUGAAACGAAUCGAGUUAGAUUCCGCCUGUUUUUUAAAAACAAAAGUGCCAAAUUUUUAAUGGGUGUUCUGAGUUUGAACUGGACAGUGAAUUACCAUUCUAUAUAAAACAUUUGGCCAUUCAAUUCUCACUUUUAACAAAUAGUUUCUUCGCAAAGCUUUUUAUUGUGAGUUUUGUGAAUGUGUGUAUUUGAGGUUUGUUUGUAUUCUUUAGCACAUAUAGCCUUUGGGGCUUUAUUUACAACGAAGUUUAAAUGCUAAGAGUGUUUCGUCUGCUUGAUGAGUGAGAAGAGAGAACGAGCGGUGUCUGGUGUCAAGCAUACCUAGAACUGGCGAAGAUUGGUGAUGACACUUUGAGGGAAAAAAAUGCCGGUGAAGAAACAAGACACUCAACGCGCUUUACUGCUUCUUGAAGACUACUGUUCAAAGCUGAAGAAACCAGAGGAAAAACAACUUAAACGUGCUGUUGAAAGAGUUAUAAGUAUCUUCAAAAGUGGAUUGUUUCAGGCACUACUAGGUAUGUUUUUUUAAAAAGAAAGCAGGAAUGAAAUAAGGAUUGUUUUUGUAUUAUAUGGAAGAGAUUUUCAUUUGAAAGGUAUUAAUUUUAUUGCUUUCAUGUGUCUUAUAAUAUUUAAGAAAUAAGCUGAGAUUAUUUUAAGCAGUUGAAAACAGGGCUUAGAGCUCUAAGCUUUACUGUGAUGGAAGUAUUACCUGAAAUGUAAUGGCAUAUUUCAUCAAGCCCAAAUUAGAUUAGGUCUUUUACAGUGUAACUACUUUGCUACAAUACUAUUUGUAAAUUAUUAAUAGUAAUAUUAACAUUUCCCAGA